rnacentral:rRNA from 1 species
UACGUAGGGGGCGAGCGUUGUUCGGAUUUACUGGGCGUAAAGGGCGCGCAGGCGGCGGUUCAAGUCAGACGUGAAAGCCCCGGGCUUAACCUGGGAACUGCGUUUGGGACUGAUUUGCUAGAGAUCGGGAGAGGAGAGUGGAAUUCCCAGUGUAGAGGUGAAAUUCGUAGAUAUUGGGAAGAACACCGGUGGCGAAGGCGGCUCUCUGGACCGAUACUGACGCUGAGGCGCGAAAGCGCGGGGAGCAAACAGG